UACGGGGGGGGCAAGCGUUGUUCGGAAUUACUGGGCGUAAAGGGCUCGUAGGCGGCCAACUAAGUCGGACGUGAAAUCCCCAGGCUCAACCUGGGAACUGCGUCCGAUACUGGAUGGCUUGAAUCCGGGAGAGGGAUGCAGAAUUCCAGGUGUAGCGGUGAAAUGCGUAGAUAUCAGGAGGAACACCGGUGGCGAAGGCGGGGUCUCUGGGCCGAUACUGACGCUGAGGAGCGAAAGCGUGGGGAGCGAACAGG
rnacentral:rRNA from 1 species